rnacentral:rRNA from 1 species
GAUGAACGCUGGCGGCGUGCCUAAUACAUGCAAGUCGAGCGAACAGACGAGGAGCUUGUUCCUCUGACGUUAGCGGCGGACGGGUGAGUAACACGUGGAUAACCUACCUAUAAGACUGGGAUAACUUCGGGAAACCAGUGCUAAUACCGCAUAAUAUCUUGAACCGCAUGGUUCAAUAGUGAAAGAUGCUUUUGCUGUACCUUAUGGAUGGAUCCGCGUCGCAUUGGCUGGUUGGUAAGGUAACGCCUUACCAAGGCAACGAUGCGUAGCCGACCUGAGAGGGUGAUCGGCCACACUGGAACUGAGACACGGUCCAGACUCCUACGGGAGGCAGCAGUAGGGAAUCUUGCGCAAUGGGCGAAAGCCUGACGGAGCAACGCCGCGUGAGUGAUGAAGGUCUUCGGAUCGUAAAACUCUGUUGUUAGGAAAGAACAAAGGUAGAAGUAAAUAUGCACGUCUUGACGGUACCUAAACAGAAAGCCACGGCUAACUACGUG